ensembl:lncRNA
AGUGGCGUUCCUUCAUCUUCCUCAGCUCACGCAACCACUAUUCUUGACACACAAUCUUAUUCAAGAUAAUGUGUUGGUGUGUGUAAUCGGUUUGCUCCUUCUUCCAGUCAUCUACAUUGCAUCAGAAAUAGAUAUAAAGAAUGAUAAGAGCAUCUAACCCUGGUUUGAUGAAGGGUUGGACUGCUCAUUUGAGGGACUGCUUUUCACUAUUUUUAUGUUACCUUUGCUUUCCCCUGGAGAGCAAUACAUGAGCUCAUAUUCUCCUCAGUUUGUAUAAGGGGACAGGAGUUUUUAUUUCUCUCCUCGGCGGCUCUGAGGCAGCUACUGGUGUGGGGCUGGAACCACCAUUAUUUGUCUGUUACAUGCUCUGCUUCAGCUCCGAUGUUUUCCAGAUGUUACAGAUGUUGUUACCACAUUAUUGCUGCUGGUAGAGGCCCAACUGUGAAACCAACCACAACAGUCCCAGCCUCAGCACCAGUGGUGGAAGUGAAAUAGUUUGAGUCGGUGUUGUUUACUUUGGCUACAUGCCAACGGGCCUCUAAAGGCUUUAAACUGAUUUAUUCAGAGAAAGAGAUAACAAGGUUUUUUCAGUAGUAUGUACACUUUUUAGAGACUUGUGGACUAUUUGUACUAAGUUACCAUAGUGCAUGUCCAUGUAAUAAUAGAUUAAACAUUUAAUGUUUAAUAUCUAGCCGAUUGCUGUUUUGUUGAAACAGGCUAAACUGCAGAGCUGUUCUUUGUACAUGGGGCUGGUUUCAAGCAUCACUGAAAAAGUGUUAGAAUAGAUUAUUAACAGUUAUGAAUGCCAAUAACUAAUGACAACAUAAUACACACAACACAAAAUGCAUCACUAGUUCAAAAGUAAACCUCAAAUACUCAAAUCUAUCUUUGCUGUUGUUAUUUAACACAAAUUGAGCUAAACAUUGACUGGUGGUGUCUGGGAUCGAGCCGAGGAUUAGUUUGAAGGACAACCCUUUCAAAUACUGAAAUAUGAGGUCAAUUUUAACUCAGUUAACGAAACGUUGUUUACCUCCAGUAUGCGUUGGCCCCUGACCCCUGAAACCUCCACAUGCUGAAGUCAGUUAGAUCGGCGACGUACAGCGGUAACGAUGAUCACGUGUGUAGUUUUGUGUUUAAAAUACAAAUGCACCAAAUAUGCUUUCUAAAGUGAACACUUUUCGACCGGCGAGCUUUGGUCGUCUUUAUGGUCGUGACUUAAAACACAGACCAAUAGCAUUCGAGUUAAACAAUCCCACUUGAUAUCGCUCGACCAAUCGAGUCUUUGCAUUCCAGGCAGGAUGAUGAUGUCGUCUCAAUACUGCGGACAGACGAGAGGUAGCGGAAAAUAACAAAUAAAAAGAAAAAAGAAAGAUAGCGACAUUUGAGAAAAAGACGAGUGAGACGCAGAAAGAGAUGGGAGAGAAAAAUGAGGAACAAAUGGUGCUCUCCAAAAAGAGAAAAAUGGACAGCGAAAGUAGAGCAUUUUAUCCACAAUGGUUUCUGUUCAUACUUCCCACUAAAAAACUAAACCCGUUGAAACGCCGUCAUGAGGCGCAAUGAGCUCCUCCACGUGAGGACGAGAACAGCCCUGAUGCAUUAAGACCAGGUUUCACAUCCUGGAAGGAAAAACUAGAGCUUAAUUCUUCCACUACUAAAAAAGUGUGGGAGUGGAUAUAUAUUCUAGUCCAAAUGUGAAGCAGAAAAGGGGAAAUUCAAGCUUUUCUUUUCUUAAUUUUUUCACUUUCUUUAAAUACAGCCCUACUUUUAUUUAGAUAAUUGAGAGAAAAUGACUUAUAUUUGAAGUCACACAUAUAUGUUCAGUUAUUUUGUUACAUAAACAUUACGUUUUGAAUCAUACUGAAUUGAUUUGGUUUGUUAGUCGUGUAUUGAUUAAAUGCAGAUGCUGAUACAACUCUCAACUCUUCAUCUAUUUAAUCACAGUAAGCUGGAUCAGUGGAUCCACACUGCCAUCUCUGGGUGGGCAGUGAACAUUCCAGCCUUCUCCUUUCCUUGUACAAUUUAAAAUAAAAAAGGAGAGUAGUUGCCUCCUGGUGGUCACUGCAGAGAACUGCAAGUCAAAGACACAUUUGGCUUUCUGUCCAACUAGUGUGAAUCUCAUAGCAAAAGCAUACUGCUCUCCAGUAAUAGAGGGAACUCCAGACAACCGACAGAGCAAUGAAUGGAACACAAAAUAUCAAUAUUGUACAUUUUUCACUUUUCACAACCAUUUUUUAGAUUCAAAGUAAAUUUGAUGCGUGUGAAGGAUGAUAUAGAAAAACACAAUGGCAGUCUAAAUCUGAAAAACAAACCUACAUUUCUCCGUAUUAAUGUGUGUGCAGGAUAUUUAAAGGGAGGGGUUAUAUGCUAAACAAUACCUGUAUAAAAUACAAUAAUAUUCUAUGGUACCCUACUCUGGCAGAUAUCUUGAGAAAUGUGUAUCUAACGAUGAUGAUUUUCCCUUUAAAAGAGCUGGAAUACAGUAAUACAAGUGACUUGAGUUACAGUCAACAUGUCUAAUAUACUUUGUCUUCAAGAUCAGGAGAGAAGAUUCUAAUCGGGUUGUAGCAUCCUCCUCCUCCUCACGGAUUAAUCCGAUCCAUCUGAAAACAUUGGCAAUGGUUCAAUGUGAAUUUUAGAACUCGUUGAAAGCUUGAUGCAUUUCUGCUCAUGUGAAUUCAAGAAGUUAUUCAUAAGUUCUUUCUAUUAUUAAAAAGGAGAUUAGCGACUUGCUAAAAUGAAGAAUUGUGCAAUGAUUUGUUGUACGGAUGCCCCCAUGACCAUGAAGUGCUACAAAAAGUGUUUUUUCAGAAAGUGAUUAACCUGAUUUAGAAUUUUAAGAAUGGAUAAGGAAUGAUUUUCUCUCUGUUAGGGUCUUGCUCAGUGCUCAGAGGUAGGUCGGUUAUCUGACGGCUUUACGCCUCCACAAUCAGUUGCACAUAUGUAAUAGAAUAAUGCGCAGCGACUUGCCUCAUUUAGGGCGCGCCUCAUUAACAAACAGGCUCCAGGGAAGGAGGACGAAGGCUCAGCUAGGCCGCACUUAGCUGGGAAUGUUUUCUCUCCAGGUCACCCGCUCAUCCAGCGCAUUUACCCACAUGAAGUGUGAGUGAGACCCCCCGGAAACAUAAUGACUUUUAGACUUGUUUUCUGGAUUAGGAUAUUUUCUGGAUCAUUUCAUAACUGGCUGCCAAGCAAAUUAUAAACACAGAGGCCACUUUAUCAGAUUCUUCCCACACAAACAGCUUCUUGGGCAUUUUAAGCUCCAUUAUUUUUAUUUUACAAAUGACUAGUGCAAUUACAAAGGUAUUGUCUUUAAAUGGCCCGGGGGUAUUGAUAGGAACUCAAAUGCGGGGGCUUCUUUCAGCCUGCUUAGGUUUCCAGACCUAACAUAGUCUGCGAUUAUGGACCUUAUUUUUACCACAGAUUAUCAGAAAGAGCAGCACACAACUGGCAGACAUACACACAAACAGAUUCAAACAAACAAAUUAUAAGAAUUUUAAGAAUAUUUGGGAGUUUAAUAAACUGCAAAUUUGUAAGAAUCUGAAAAAAUGUUCCCCAGGGAGUCCCUAUUCUGCCUGGAUUUUAUUAAAAGGUUUCAGGGUCCCACCUUCAGAGAGAUCAUGUAUCAUCUGUACUAACAAUUGGUGUGUAAAAAGAGUGUCUUCGGUUUAUGGCCUUAUCCUCAGAUUAACUGCAGUAAACAAAACAGUUGUAAAAAGGAAAAGCAUAAUAUUGCAAAACAGCUUUCUUUCUCUCGCCAAGAAAAACAAGCAGAUAGCGCACAUAUAGUUAUUUACAAACCUGCAGCUCACCGGGUGAUCAGCGCCUUUCAUUAUGAGCAUUUAAACACACACUUCUCUUUCUGUCAUGGAUCAGCCAAAACAGCGGGAGAGGUUUAAACGUGCUUAAAGGAAAAAGGAAAUUGUGUGUGCACCUGUUACUUGGUGCUGAUGCGCACUUCUUACCUUAUGAACGGAGGAAUAAUGUAUUCUUCUAAAACUGACGAACUCCUCGAGACUUGACGAGACGAACAUGUUGGUGGUUGAAGAAGUCACGAUACUUUUUCCCCCUAAAUUCGCCCGCAGCUGACAGACAACAGACAGACAAAGUACGCGGAUAUUAACGCGUCAUGAUGACGUCAUCCACGAACCCAGGACGCUCGUAUCGGUGCAGCGGUGCUUCUUGUGCACCGACUACGGACCGCGACGACUAUUUUACGCUGCGGCGAGUUUGAACGUGGCAUCGUUAGUUUAGCUCAGCUGUCUGUUAGCUGCCUGUUAGCAGCCUGUUAGCUGUCUGUUAGCUGCCUGUUAGCUGUCUGUGUCCCUGCCUGUUAGCAGGCUGAAGCCGCGCUGCUUCACAGAAACAUGAAGACGCGUUUAAAGACUGUCGGACCUUUCUGCUCUGUUCUCUGGCGACUAACGUAAUAAACUCAUUGCAGGUUCUGAAGCCAAGAAAAUAAUGUAUUGCAGAUUGUAGGAGGUUAAGGUCUCUUUUGUUGGGACAGUGGAAACAAUAAAGGAGCAUGAAGUGUCAAAAGCAUUGCAAGUAAACAGACAAAGACAACAAAGUGUUGCGUUUAGGUCCCUGGUCCUCAUGAAGUUGUUACGCCUUUGCCAAUUUGUUAAAUUGCCUUGCAAAUAAAUGCUUUGCUAUUUGUUAAAAUCCAAAUCCUUUCAUGUAAUGAUGUUUCACAUGUCAUUUAUAUUCGCUCACACAAACACUUCCACUCAGCAAAAAGAGUGUUGAAAUUUCAGGGUUAAACAUUUCCGAGUUGAUUUUCACUCCCAGAGUGUAAUUUUAACACAUUCUGAUUUAAAUGGUGUUCAGUGUUGGAGUUAUUUGGCAGAGUUGAUCAUGUCAGUGUUAACCCAACUCCGCAGAGACGUAAUUAAGCUCGGCCCACGCCUUUCACCUCUUCGGUUAGAGACAGAGAAGACAAGUCUGCGCCAUUUUCUACCUCUCAUGCAGUACCACACGGUAAGUGCAAUUAAGUUAAACUUACUGAAACAAUUAAAAAUUGAUGCUGAGAAUUUCAGUAUGAACAAUUAAAUAUCUACAGAGAAUAUAUGCCUUACACAGCCGUGUUUGUUGCCAGGACUGAACAGUAAAUUUGUCCUCGUGGUUAGCUAGCUAGUUAGCAGUGUACGGUAAGCUAGCUAACAGUUUAUUACUAAAACUAUCUCCAACUUUAUCAAUAAUGAUUUAACAAUUCAUAGGCAUGCUCAAAGCUAGGAAAUACAAAGCAUUAUGAUUUUUAACUAUAUAAAAUCUUGUUUGAGGCUGGAGCUGUUUUUUUUUCCUCUUUGAAGAUCAAAGGGACCGCAAAAAAACGUGUCCCAACAUGCAGACGGUGUUUCACGUGUCUAGUUCACGUGUCUAGUUCGCGUGUCUAGUUCGCGUGUCUAGUUCACGUGUCUAGUUCUCCAUCAGAUUCUAUGACCUGCAGUGUUGGAAAAAGUACUCAUUUACUUAAGUAAAAGUAUGUAAGUAUUACCAUUACUAUAAUUACCAAGUUAAAGCUAAAGUACAAAAUUAGCAGAAAAUCGGGGUGUGACUGAUAUAUAUGAAAUACCUUUAAGUGCAUCAUUGAAUACUUAUGAGUCGGUGCAUAAGCAGCCGAUUUUCUGGAAAGUAGUACUUUUUCCAAUACUGCAGAUCACAGAAUCUGAUGGGUCACCAAAAAUGGUGUAACACUGUCGACUUUUUACCGUUGUUGCUUAAAUGUUCAUUUACUUUGUCAAACUUCAUUGCAUGUCUCAGUCAAAAUGCUGGUCCAGGUGAAGUACAGCCAACAGCAGAAGUAUGUAAAGUUGGACGACGAUGAAGGACUGUUUGACUUUCUGCAAUUCCAUGAAAAGGGUUAGUAUGGCUUACAAAAAAGGUUUUAAACCACAUCCAUGUUCUUUUUAAAGCUCUUUACAUGCCUUUAUCAGACUCUUAUACUGUAAAUGGGUGUACAUUGCUAAACAUUUUCGGUUCUGCUAUGUGUGCUUCAUGAAGUGUAAAGUAUAAUAUACACCAAAACAGUCAAUAAAAAAAAGGCAAUCAGCAAUUUUUAAAUUUGGACUUGGAAGGGAAUGGGUUUUGUGAGGGACAAAUGCUCUAUGUCUAUUUAAUGAUUAUACAGUGUUGGAUGUAUGUAUUUAACAUGAACAGUUAUUGGCUGUGAGGCAAGAAACAGUGCGGACUUCAAAAGCACAUUCAGUUUGACCUUAUCUAUUCCAGUCAUGGAGAGAUUUGCCCUGCCACCUGAUGCAAAUGUUAUAUACAAGGAUGCAACAGGGACAGAAGUUGAUGCAGAAAUAUUCAGCGACCUCGCUGGACAAGGCAAUGUGGUCCUGACAGUUUUCUCAGAUCAGGGUGAGAUAUCAAGGCAGGUAUAAUAAAGCACUCUACACCUUAGUAUAUCAUUUAAUAAUUUAAAUGUUCUCUAUUGCUUUAGAAUUCUCUGAUUUCUCCUUGUCUUCUGAGACGUCUGACUCAAGCUUCAGCUCAAGUGCAUCAACUACAAUCCUAGAUGUUCCUAACAAGAGACAAAGAAUUGAGGAUACACGUGAUGCUGUGUCUGCUAAACAGGUUGCUUAAUGCUUUCACAUUUUUUUCACUCUGAGUCACUAGAAAAGCUGUUUAUCACCAUGUUUUGUAUUCUCAUGUUUUUGUUUUUUAUUAGUUGAUAGAAGCUGUGCUAAGAGGCAAGUCCGGAGGUGAAGAAGUACUACAGGAGUACCAAACAACAGAAACCCUAACAGAUGCUGCAAGAAGACAAAUGGUUAAUAUCCUGGUGGCUCACAUGAUUGACAAUCAUGGGUAUGUUUGUUUGACAUUGUUUUUAUUUGUGCCAAAUAAAUGCAUGACCAUUGCAUAAAUGUACUAAUUUACUAUCUCCUCUCAGGCACUGCCCCACUAAAACAAUCAGAAGAUUAUGCACGUGGGAUAGUGAUGCUGUUCCCUUCCCUUAAGGAUCCAUACUCCAAGAAGGGCUAUGUAAUAGGCAUUAUUAUUGUUUAAACUUCCAUGUCAUGUUGUGACCCAAAGCUGUGUGGAUGACAUUGAUAUUUAAAUUCCGUGAGAUUUCUCAUGAGCCUGGUAUUACAACACAUUUCUUUUUUUCAUUUCAGGAACACUUCUAUGAUGCUGCAAGCAGCACGGGAUACAUUUCUUGGCGUCUGAAAACAGUCCAGAGGAAGAUUCGUCAAGGAUCUGCACAGCCACCAAAUAGCCCAAUUGACUUUUCUCCAGGAGGCCCAAAUUGCCAAAGGACUGUUAAUGUUGAAGGGCAGCUUGAUGGUGAUGCUUGCCAAGAGGCCAUGUCUUUGCUUAACCAUACAGCAGACAAUUCCCUGAUUUUCCAGAAGAUGAGUGAGACCUUUCAGCAUCGUCAGAAGCUUGUUAAUGACCCAGGCAGAAGUGUUGAUAUACUCUCCAGCUUCCCGAGAUUUCUGGAUACAAAAGGAUUGGUAAGUUUGGGAUGAGAUGUUUGGAAUGGCUUGAAAUUUGAAAGUAUUUCCAGUAGUAGUCGUAGUAGUAGUUGUUGUUUAAUAUCUUCUUUCCUAAAGGUGGACCAAGACUUCACUCUCCUAUUUGACGAAGACACAUCCUCCAGGCUUCUUCAGAAAUGGGAUUUGUUCUUCAAGCCAAAUGUCAUUAAAGAGGCUAAGCGGCUCACCUCAACACCAGAGUUGCGUCGCUUGGUGCAGUCAGCAGAAAGUCCCCCAGGAAGUGAUCUUGAUGAGGCAACAAGUGAGUGUUUUGUUGAUUUGAAUACCUUUGCUAUCAUUUCAGUUAAACUAUAACUGCAAUAAUAUAUAUUUUUUUAUUCUGUGUCUCUGAACGUUGAUCUGAUUUUUGGGAUAACUGUGACUAAUAGAUGGAUGACUCCCUCUUCUCAUUCAAACUUAAAGUGUUAAAUUUGAAGAGGUUUUAGUUCAUUCUUGUGACUGUUUGUCCUCAGCCUACGACCAAGAAAUGGCCUCCCUGUUGUUGCUGUUACAUCUCCUUCCACCACCUCCAGGGGGACUGAAGUCUCCAAAAAUGAGUGCAUGUGAUGCAGUUGAAAGACUUGUUGUCUUUCAUAAGGUAAUUAUAUUAUUACGGGGAUUAUAAUAAUUUGUCAUGUCAACAUCUUAGCCACAUAUGUAAAUGAGGGUUGUGGAUUGUAAUUAUGUCUUCAUUCCCAUCUUGCACUAGCCAAUAAGAUGUUUAAAUAAUCACUUCUAUAAUGUUUUUUUAUUUGGCUGCACAUUAUUCUUGUCUCUAAUGUUCAGUUUUCUGAUCUCAACCAUAGUCAUGCUGCAGUUUGGAGGAGCAUCUCCGCAACCAGCAGGGUCGGCAGCCGUACCUCCUCGCUGUUGGGCGUCAGAAGAGCAAGAUUGACAGCUUCUACAUCACCAUGGAUAAGCGUCUCAUCCCAUGCAAGGCAAACCGCUCCCUCGGGGCAUGUGAUGAACUUUUCAAAGCACAUUUUGUGUUUAAUUUGUCUUACGAUGUGGCACUUGUGAAUUUUUAUACAUUCCUGCAGACAACAGUGUAUAAGAUUGAUGUGGGGAAAAUGAAGGAGUCACCCAGAGUUAAAGACUUGAGAGCAAGACUGCUUAACCAGCCAGUAGCAUUCUCACCCUGUGAGUAAGAAGCUAUAACAAUGCUGACCUGUUUCAUGUGUCAGAAAAAUUAUCCCAGCAGUCAGCAGUUGAUUUCACAUUUCAGAGUUGAACAUGGUUACUAUCCUGGACCCAAGUUCAAAUUGUUUUGUUCUCAGCAAGGCUGUAGGCAUCAGUUCCUAACAUAUGCAGGUUUUCGAAAGCACCUUAAUAGUGUUCAUAGCAUUUUUCAGCAAACUCAAACUUCAACUGUUGCAUGUUCAUCUAGUGAGUCAGUUGCAACUUCAUCUCAGGCACAUACUUUGGAGGACCAAUUUAUUCCACAAAAUCAAUGUAGUUCUUCCAGUAUUUCUUCUGAGGCCAAUGAUUCAGGACUUACUAAAGAUCCAACUAAAGAAAUGUGUGCAUCCAUCGUGGCCAAAUUACAGGGGAGUGGGAUAUCCAACAGUUUGGUAUUCUCAAUUGUAGGAGAUUUGGAAGAACUAACGAGUGAACUUCGCUCACAAGCAAAGCAUACAGCUAUUUCUGCUUUACCUAUAACUGACCCCAACAUAUCUGUGAUAAAUGAAUCUUUUGAAGAUUAUGAAAAUCCGUUUUCAAAUCUGAACACAGAAUGGAAACAAAAUAAAUACUUCCACCAAAAAUGGGGAGUUGUUGAGCCAGUAGAAAUAACACUGGGAGUGAGAUAUGACAACAGGCGAAAUCAGAAAUCCGGUACUUAUGAUCAAGUACCUGUGAAGGAUACUUUUAUCUAUGUGCCAAUUUUAGAAACAUUGAAGUUCAUGUGCAGAAAUCCAGACAUUUGUGUUUUGCUAAAGAAGGAGUGUAGAUCAGAGCCUGACACUUAUACUGACUUUUUUGAUGGAAGUUAUUUUAAAACCCACCCUUUGUUUACAGCUAAUAAACAUGCAUUGCAAAUUCAACUAUACUAUGACGAUUUUGAAACAGCCAAUCCCCUUGGCUCCAAAUGUGGAAUACACAAAAUUGGCUGUAUUUAUUUUGUUGUAAGAAAUUUGCCCCCAAAAUUUAAUUCGGUUUUGAUGAACAUUCAUUUGGUAUCACU